rnacentral:rRNA from 1 species
AGAUUGAACGCUGGCGGCAUGCCUUACACAUGCAAGUCGAACGGUAGAGUAGCAAUACUCGAGAGUGGCGAACGGGUGAGUAAUAUAUCGGAACGUGCCCAGUCGUGGGGGAUAACGUAGAGAAAUUUACGCUAAUACCGCAUACGAUCUACGGAUGAAAGCGGGGGAUUCGCAAGAACCUCGCGCGAUUGGAGCGGCUGAUAUCAGAUUAGGUUGUUGGUGAGGUAAAAGCUCACCAAGCCGACGAUCUGUAGCUGGUUUGAGAGAACGACCAGCCACACUGGGACUGAGACACGGCCCAGACUCCUACGGGAGGCAGUAGUGGGAAUUUGGACAAUGGGCGAAAGCCUGAUCCAGCAAUGCCGCGUGCAGGAAGAAGGCCUUCGGGUUGUAAACGUGCUUUUGUACGGUAACGAAAAAGUUCUUUUUACUAAUAAAGAAGGACUUAUGACGGUAACGUAAGAAUAAGACACCGGACUAACGUACGUAGCCAGCACGCCGCGUAAGUCUGA